GGCGCCCCGAGUGGCACUCGCGAUUAUUGGGCCUAAAGCGUCCGUAGCCGGAUUGGUAAAUCCUCUGUGAAAUCGUACUGCUCAACGGUACGGCGCGCAGGGGACACUGCUAGUCUAGGGACCGGGAGGGGUCAGAGGUAUGCCGUGGGGACCGGUAAAAUGGGAUAAUCCACGGUAGACCACCAAUGGCGAAGGCAUCUGACCAGAACGGAUCCGACGGUGAGGGACGAAAGCCAGGGGAGCGAACCGG
rnacentral:rRNA from 1 species